rnacentral:rRNA from 1 species
GGANUUGCCANUGGGCGAAAGCCUGAUGCAGCGACGCCGCGUGGGGGAUGAAGCUUUUCGGAGUGUAAACCCCUUUCGACCCGGACGAAUGCCCCGCAAGGGGACUGACGGUACGGGUAUAAGAAGCCCCGGCUAACUACGUGCCAGCAGCCGCGGUAAGACGUGGGGGGCCAGCGUUGCUCGGAAUUACUGGGUGUAAAGGGUCAGUAGGCGGUGUGGCAAGUCGGGAGUGAAAUCUCUGGGCUUAACUCAGAGACUGCUUCCGAAACUGCUGUGCUUGAGUGUGGGAGAGGCGCGUGGAAUUGCAGGUGUAGCGGUGAAAUGCGUAGAUAUCUGCAGGAACACCCGUGGCGAAAGCGGCGCGCUGGACCACAACUGACGCUGAAUGACGAAAGCUAGGGGAGCAAACAGGAUUAGAUACCCUGGUAGUCCUAGCCCUAAACGAUCAGGACUUGGGGUGCCACCCGUUCGGGUGUCGUCCCGGAGCUAACGCGUUAAGUCCUGCACCUGGGGGGUACGGUCGCAAGACUGAAACUCAAAAAAAUUGACGGA